AUGUGUGUGUGUGUGUGUGUGUAUUAGCGCUUUCUUUUCUUCUGGCCACCCCACAGCAUCUGGAGGAUAUGGAAUUCCCAGGCCAGGGAUCAGAUCUGAGCUGCAGUUAUGACCUAUGUCGCAGUUGUGGCAAUACAGGCUCCUUAACCCGUGGUGCUGGGCCAGGGAUGGAACCUGCACCCCAGCAUUGCAGAGACACGGCCGAUCCUGUCGCUCCAUGGCGGGAACUCCUACGUUAGCGCUUGAAUCUUAAUACCAACACCCCGACUCCCAGGAAAAUGAGACUCAACUCAGUCGAACCCUCGUUAAAGGUUUGAUCCAGGGCAUAUAGAGCAGGAUUUAAACUCAAGUCUGUGCGACUCUAAUUCCUGAGAUUUCUCACGAUCCCAAUUCUGCUUCCCACACGAGUUGUCUGGUUGGGUCUAAAAAUUGAGACUGAAGUAGAAAUUUAGAUCUUAGAGAAGCCCAGAGAAAUGGAUUCCUUGAAGUUUGCAUAAUGAAUAUACCACUUUCCAGGGCAUCGUUCUGCUGCUACACCUUGCCUCCCUGGAGCUGAAAAUUGAAUCUGUUUGUCAGCAUUGGAACCAACCUUCAGAUGGUGUAGAGAAAGUACCAGCAAACUGAAGUGCCAUUGUGAGGUUGACAUAUAUGGACCUGGGACCUGACAGUGGCUUUGCUGCAAGGUGUACAGUUUGCUCCUGUGACCUCUCUGGACUGCGGUGGUUGGUGAACACACAACCAAAGCAACAACACAGGCGCAGUAACUCCUUCGUGGAGACUGCUUCCAUUUUCACAAUGUCCAGCUCCACGCUAGAGCUUCGGGGAAAGGGACCGAGGAAGUGACUGGUUCGCCAACUGAAACUACAAAUCCUAGAGCUGCAACUAUAUUUUAUAAAUGGCCCUCGUUUGGUUCCUGCAUAACAAAUAGUGUCCUCUCAUUGAUGGGGACUGUUUCAUGCGCCUGCCUUUUUGGAGAAAGAAAACAACUUCUAGUCUCAGGCUUGUAUGAAUCCAGCACUGUCUUUCACAACUUGUUUUCGCCUCAGCGACUUGACAUGGCUCCCUAUCCAUCGCCGGUCCCCACGCUCCACGGUAACGAGAUUUUAAAAACUGUCCAUUUGGCUCCUUCCUGAGGUUUUACUCAUUUUGAAACUUUGCCACGCUGGCUGGCAUGUUUCACAUUUGCUUAUCUCUGAGCUUACUCCCAAGAGCUGCUGAACUUUCCCUUCCAUGUCACUAAGCUGGGACAGAGUGAAGACGGAGAGGAAAGAGUUACUGUCUCACAAGCUGUGACUUUGUCUGUCCAGAGUGGCCCUUGGAUGCAGCUCAUUAUUUGUGGAAAUAGUGUGUGCCACGGGCAAAAAUAACUUUUUAAAAAAAGCACAUCUCUGUACCCUCCUGAAGUCAUCUCAAAAUGAAGUCAAGAUUUCUCAUGAAACGGAGAGAGCUUUAUCAUGGCCCGAGUGGGUCCUUGAGUACUUGUCCCCGCCACAUUGUCUGCUCUGAGCAACCUGAGGGUCCAGACCAAGCUAAAAGAGGCUUCAUGAUGAGGUAAUGAGAAGGGUGGGAAGCAGGUUUUCUAUUUGGAGCCACAGGACCAUGGGAAAAAUCUCACUCGAGGACCAUAAACAACCAAAAAGAAACAAUGGAAAGAGAAAAAUAUGGGACCUUUCCCUUACCUGAUUUCAUUUUAUUUUAUUUUAUUUAUGGCCACACCCACGCAAGGAAGAUCCUGGGCCAGGGAUUGUGACUUAUGCCACGGCCGUGGCAAUGCCAGAUCCUUUAACUCAUAGCGCCAGGCCAGGGAUCGAACCCCGAACCUCCUCCACAGCAACCCGAGCCACUGCAGUCAAAUUCUUAAGA
rnacentral:lncRNA from 1 species